rnacentral:hammerhead_ribozyme from 1 species
AUCCACAUGACGAGUCCCAAAUGGGACGAAAUGCGCGUUAUCCUGGAU